UGGGGAAUAUUGCACAAUGGGCGCAAGCCUGAUGCAGCCAUGCCGCGUGUAUGAAGAAGGCCUUCGGGUUGUAAAGUACUUUCAGCGGGGAGGAAGGGAGUAAAGUUAAUACCUUUGCUCAUUGACGUUACCCGCAGAAGAAGCACCGGCUAACUCCGUGCCAGCAGCCGCGGUAAUACGGAGGGUGCAAGCGUUAAUCGGAAUUACUGGGCGUAAAGCGCACGCAGGCGGUUUGUUAAGUCACAUGUGAAAUCCCCGGGCUCAACCUGGGAACUGCAUCUGAUACUGGCAAGCUUGAGUCUCGUAGAGGGGGGUAGAAUUCCAGGUGUAGCGGUGAAAUGCGUAGAGAUCUGGAGGAAUACCGGUGGCGAAGGCGGCCCCCUGGACGAAGACUGACGCUCAGGUGCGAAAGCGUGGGGAGCAAACAGG
rnacentral:rRNA from 1 species